rnacentral:lncRNA from 1 species
CUUGCCUAAAGUUACCCAGCUGAUUAAUGUGACAGAGCCAGAGUUUUAAACCAAAACUAUCUUUCUCCAAAGGUUCCAGGCAUGAAGCAUGUGCUGUCCUGGGCCCUGAAUAUCAAGCCAGGUAGAGGAACCCCAUCCUUCUGUUGUCAUUUCAAGCUAGAGGCUCAAGCCUGGAGGAGUGAGGAUCAAGAUCGAGAACUCAAAGCUGUUUAGAGGAAGAAGCCAAGUUCAAGGAGGAGUGAGGAACGCUUGAGGCGAAACCUUUUGGAAGCUCAGGAAGCUUGGAGGAUUUCGUGGAUUACAGAAUGUUGAAGUUGGAGAACUGUAGAGGGGCCUAAAAAAUGUUCCAGAAUCAAGACGGUGCCUGAUGCCCUACCUAGCCCCUCUCCAGCACACAGGAGCCCCGGGCCCUUGGCAAUCAUGUCUGCGCAGCUUGGACCCCAUAUCCAAAAGGGGAGCACGCCCCAAUUUACUCUCACCCCACCAGGUUAAUCCAUGAGAAGAGCUUGGAACAGCGCCCGGCAGUGUCUCAGCGCACCCAAAGUGUGUGCAGACAUGCUCACUCUAGAAGAAACUAGUUGCCAUGUUGUGAGGAUACUCAACAGUCCUGUGGAGGGGGCCACAUGUAGAAAGACCGCAUGUGGAAAGAAACUGACUUGCUAGCAGCAACUUUACAGGCUGGAGUACAGUGGU